rnacentral:rRNA from 1 species
AGCGAACGCUGGCGGCAGGCUUAACACAUGCAAGUCGAACGCCCCGCAAGGGGAGUGGCAGACGGGUGAGUAACACGUGGGAACGUACCCUUUGGUUCGGAAUAACUUGGGGAAACUCAAGCUAAUACCGGAUAAGCCCUUAUGGGGAAAGGUUUACUGCCGAAGGAUCGGCCCGCGUCUGAUUAGCUAGUUGGUGAGGUAAUGGCUCACCAAGGCGACGAUCAGUAGCUGGUCUGAGAGGAUGAUCAGCCACACUGGGACUGAGACACGGCCCAGACUCCUACGGGAGGCAGCAGUGGGGAAUAUUGGACAAUGGGGGCAACCCUGAUCCAGCCAUGCCGCGUGAGUGAUGAAGGCCUUAGGGUUGUAAAGCUCUUUUACCCGGGAAGAUAAUGACUGUACCGGGAGAAUAAGCCCCGGCUAACUUCGUGCCAGCCGCCGCCGUAA